CCUGCCCCUGCCUUCUAAGAAAAGAAAAUGGAAAAAGAGGAAGAAAGAGAAGACAUACACUGCCGCUUGAAGGAAAUAUAGUGUGUGUGCUCCUGCUUCACCUUCUGCCAUGAUUGUAAGGUUCCUGAGGACUUUCCAGAAGCAGAUACCAGCACUAUGCUUCCUGUAUAGCCUGCAGAACUGCAUUCAACGUGGUGACCACUGUUCCAGCAUACUCUUGUGAGCCAAUAAAGAAUCCUGUGGCUUCUCUUCAAAAAAAGAAUCCAUCCA